rnacentral:rRNA from 1 species
AGAGUUUGAUCAUGGCUCAGGACGAACGCUGGCGGCGCGCCUAAUCCAUGCAAGUCGAGCGACGCAUGCCUUAGCCCGUAAGGGCGGGUGUGACGGAGCGGCGAACGGGUGCGUAACACGUGACCAAUCUGCCCCGAAGACCGGGAUAGCCCGGGGAAACCCGGAUUAAUACCGGAUGAUCUCACCAUCACGCAUGUGGAGGUGAGCAAAGGUUCAGGCGCUUCGGGAUGAGGUCGCGGCCCAUCAGCUUGUUGGUGAGGUAACGGCUCACCAAGGCAAUGACGGGUAGCUGGUCUGAGAGGACGAUCAGCCACACUGGAACUGAGAUACGGUCCAGACUCCUACGGGAGGCAGCAGGAGGGAAUCUUGCGCAAUGGGCGAAAGCCUGACGCAGCGACGCCGCGUGGGGGAUGAGUGCCUUAGGGUUGUAAACCCCUUUCACGAGGGAAGAAACUGACGGUACCUCGAGAAGAAGCCCCGGCCAACUACGUGCCAGCAGCCGCGGUAAUACGUAGGGGGCGAGCGUUGUCCGGAUUUAUUGGGCGUAAAGGGCUCGUAGGCGGCUUGGCAAGUCGGCCGUGAAAACCCAGGGCUCAACUCUGGGACGCCGGUCGAUACUGCCAUGGCUAGGGUCCGGUAGAA